rnacentral:rRNA from 1 species
GGAAUUCGAUUCAGGCCUAACACAUGCAAGUCGAGCGGUAGCACAGGGAGCUUGCUCCUGGGUGACGAGCGGCGGACGGGUGAGUAAUGUCUGGGAAACUGCUUGAUGGAGGGGGAUAACUACUGGAAACGGUAGCUAAUGCCGCAUAACGUCGCAAGACCAAAGAGGGGGACCUUCGGGCCUCUUGCCAUCAGAUGUGCCCAGAUGGGAUUAGCUAGUAGGUGGGGUAACGGCUCGCCUAGGCGACGAUCCCUAGCUGGUCUGAGAGGAUGACCAGCCUCACUGGAACUGAGACACGGUCCAGACUCCUACGGGAGGCAGCAGUGGGGAAUAUUGCACAAUGGGCGCAAGCCUGAUGCAGCCAUGCCGCGUGUAUGAAGAAGGCCUUCGGGUUGUAAAGUAAUAGGCAGCGGGGAGGAAGGUGUUGAGGUUAAUAACCUCAGCAAUUGACGUACCCGCAGAAG